AAUGGAUUUAAAAGACAUCUAUAGAAUAUUUCAUCCUAAAGAAAAAGAAUAUAACUUCUCAUCACCUUAUGAUAACUUCUCCAAAACUGACCAUAUAAUCGGUCACAAAACAGGCCUCAGUAUAUACAAGGAGAUUGAAAUAAUCCCAGUCAUUCCAUCAGAUCUCCAUGGACUAGGAUUAGUCUUCAGUAACAGCAAAAAACGACAGAAAGCCCACAAACAUGGGAGCUGAACAAGGACAACUUGAUAAGGAAAGAAAAAAAGAAAUUAAAGAUUUUAUAGAAUUUAAUGGUAACGAAGGCACAACAUACCCAAAUUUGUGGGAUACAAUGAAAGCAGUGCUAAGAGGAAAACACAUAGCUCUGAGUGCCUCCAAACAGCAAACACUACUAGGUUGACAGCACACCUAAAAGGCCUAGAAAAAAAAGAAACAAAUACACACAAGAGGAAGCGACAGCAAGAAAUAAUGAAACUCAAGGUUGAAACCAAGAAACAAAAAGAAC
rnacentral:lncRNA from 1 species